rnacentral:rRNA from 1 species
UACGUAGGGUGCAAGCGUUAAUCGGAAUUACUGGGCGUAAAGCGUGCGCAGGCGGUUUUGUAAGACUGUCGUGAAAUCCCCGGGCUCAACCUGGGAAUGGUGAUGGUGACUGCAAGGCUAGAGUUUGGCAGAGGGGGGUAGAAUUCCACGUGUAGCAGUGAAAUGCGUAGAUAUGUGGAGGAACACCGAUGGCGAAGGCAGCCCCCUGGGUCAAAACUGACGCUCAUGCACGAAAGCGUGGGGAGCAAACAGG